rnacentral:rRNA from 1 species
AUUGAACGCUGGCGGCAUGCCUUACACAUGCAAGUCGAACGGUAACAGGUCUUCGGAUGCUGACGAGUGGCGAACGGGUGAGUAAUACAUCGGAACGUGCCUAGUAGUGGGGGAUAACUACUCGAAAGAGUGGCUAAUACCGCAUGAGAUCUACGGAUGAAAGCAGGGGAUCGCAAGACCUUGUGCUACUAGAGCGGCCGAUGGCAGAUUAGGUAGUUGGUGGGAUAAAAGCUUACCGAGCCGACGAUCUGUAGCUGGUCUGAGAGGACGAUCAGCCACACUGGGACUGAGACGCGGCCCAGACUCCUACGGGAGGCAGCAGUGGGGAAUUUUGGACAAUGGGCGCAAGCCUGAUCCAGCAAUGCCGCAUGCAGGAUGAAGGCCUUCGGGUUGUAAACUGCUUUUGUACGGAACGAAAAGCCCCGGGUUAAUACCCUGGGGUCAUGACGGUACCGUAAGAAUAAGCACCGGCUAACUACGUGCCAGCCGCCGCGGUAA